CAGUAGCCGCGGGAAUACGUAGGGUGCAAGCGUUAAUCGGAAUUACUGGGCGUAAAGCGUGCGCAGGCGGUUUGUUAAGACAGAUGUGAAAUCCCCGGGCUCAACCUGGGAACUGCAUUUGUGACUGGCAAGCUAGAGUAUGGCAGAGGGGGGUGGAAUUCCGCGUGUAGCAGUGAAAUGCGUAGAUAUGCGGAGGAACACCGAUGGCGAAGGCAGCCCCUGGGCCAAUACUGACGCUCAUGCACGAAAGCGUGGGGAGCAAACAGGAUUAGAUACCCCAGUAGUCCCUGUCUCUUAUACA
rnacentral:rRNA from 1 species